rnacentral:rRNA from 1 species
CCUACGGGAGGCAGCAGUGAGGAAUAUUGGUCAAUGGCCGGAAGGCUGAACCAGCCAAGCCGCGUGAAGGACGAAGGUGCCAAGCAUUGUAAACUUCUUUUGUAAAGGGACAAAAUCAGGCUCGAGAGCCUGACCGAGGGUACUUGCAGAAAAAGCAUCGGCUAACUCCGUGCCAGCAGCCGCGGUAAUACGGAGGAUGCGAGCGUUAUCCGGCUUUAUUGGGUUUAAAGGGUGCGUAGGCGGACUGUUAAGUCAGAGGUAAAAGCCCGGGGCUCAACCCCGGCGAGCCGUUGAAACUGGCGGUCUUGAGAGGACGAGAGGUAUGCGGAAUGCGCGGUGUAGCGGUGAAAUGCUUAGAUAUUGCGCAGAACUCCGAUGGCGAAGGCAGCAUACCGGCGGGGAUCUGACGCUGAGGCACGAAAGCGUGGGUAUCGAACAGGAUUAGAUACCCCAGUAGUC